UCGAGAAUCUUCGGCAAUGGGCGCAAGCCUGACCGAGCGACGCCGCGUGCGGGAUGAAGGCCUUCGGGUUGUAAACCGCUGUCAGAGGGGAGGAAAUGCGUGGUAGUUAUCUUCCAUGUUUGACCUAUCCUCAGAGGAAGUACGGGCUAAGUUCGUGCCAGCAGCCGCGGUAAUACGAACCGUACGAACGUUAUUCGGAUUCACUGGGCUUAAAGCGUGCGUAGGCGGCUGGGAAAGUUGGGUGUGAAAGCCCUCGGCUCAACCGAGGAAUUGCGCUCAAAACUACCUGGCUUGAGGGAGAUAGAGGUGAGCGGAACUGAUGGUGGAGCGGUGAAAUGCGUUGAUAUCAUCAGGAACACCUGUGGCGAAAGCAGCUCACUGGGUCUUUUCUGACGCUGAGGCACGAAAGCUAGGGGAGCGAACGG
rnacentral:rRNA from 1 species